rnacentral:rRNA from 1 species
CCUUAUACGGCGAGUGACUGGGAAGAGCUCAAAUUUUAAAUCACCUAGGUUACCUGGGCGAGUUGUAAUUUGAAGAAAGUGUUUUGAUGCUCUGGUUUUGUCUAAAUCCUUUGGGAUAAGGUAUCAUAGAGGGUGAGAAUCCCGUUCAUGAUUUAAACCCUGGGUGUCACCUAAUUCACUUUCUAAGAGUCGAGUUGUUUGGGAUUGCAGCUCAAAAUGGGUGGUAAAUUUCACCUAAGGCUAAAUAUAUGCAAGAGACCGAUAGCGAACAAGUACCGUGAGGGAAAGAUGAAAAGAACUUUGAAAAGAGAGUUAAAUAGUACGUGAAAUUGUUGAAAGGGAAACGAUUGAAGUCAGUCAUGCUUGCAGGGAAUCAGCAAUGGUGGUUUAUUCUUCCUUGUGCACUUUCUUGCUUGGCAGGUUAGCAUCAAUUUCGAUUGUCAUUAAAGAAUUGGGGGAAUGUGGCUUCUUCGGGAGUGUUAUAGACCCUGGUAGAUGUGGCGAUCGGGAUUGAGGAUUGCAGCGAAUGCUUUUUGGCUAGUCACCUGGCUUCUGAUAGUCGCCUUGCUUCCGAUAGCUUGCUAAUGGUGGUGAGACCUCGAUUGUCUAGAAGUUAGAGGUGAUCAUAAAUUCGCUAAGG